UCAUUUUUCCGGAAGGAUAUUUCUAUUUAUGAAGACUAAAAUGACUGAUAAUCUCUUAUCUUCCCAGAUGGAUUACGCUGGAUCUGGUUUGGAUAAAUGAACGCGGGGUAGCUGACUUGGCGGGGCCGAUUGUUUUGGGUGCAUCACCGCCACUGAGAGGGUUGAUGGAGAAAGGGAAUCAUUGCCGGCGGUGACAGAAAAUCAGUGCUCCCGUCAAUAUUUGGAAUACGGAAAGCCAGGCGUGAGGGGGUCCGAGGCAGCAACGUCGCCGUAGGCUGAGGCUUGGAGGAGAAGAGGGAAUCGGCGCCGGAGGCGACAGCGGUGACAGUGACUGUGCAAGAAUUUCAAGAUACUGCCUCAGAUAUUUCCUGAGCUUCUAUUAGCUGAACCGUUUACUCACUGAAGUAGCCAGUAUGGAGAUUCCUUAUCUAAAUCGCCUGGCCCAGCAUUCCUCUUGGACAAGAGUAUACACUAGCAAGAGGAAUCAACCUCAUCAUAUUGCAAGGGUUUUCUUUUGCCAAGCGAAGAAUGAUCGGUCAUUAAAAUCGUGCCUCCAACCCUAUUAGCAGCAGAAAAGGAAGAAGCAAAGGCGUUAUUAACCUUGUUUUUGAAGAAACAAGGCUUGAGUAAUGCAGUUGCAGCAAGAACCAUCAAUAAGUCAGAUGUUUUUGUCGAUCACCUUGUAUCGAAGAUUCACUCUAAACAUAAAUCUCGGUACCUAGUAGGAAGAGAACUUACAACUCUUGAGAUUAGAGAUGCCUUGAUUCCUUAUCUUGAAUCCCUUUUUGAAGAAUAUGGAGACAUUUUGAUGGAUU